AGAUAUCAGAAAUGGAACAUGAAUUGAAGAUUGUUUUUUUUAUAAGGCAGUACUCGACCUCCAGCAAAAAGUUGCCCCCAUAACUAUCUGGAGUGACAUAGUCUCCGGCAUGGUAAUGGCAGCUCCUAGCUUAGUGUUGACAAAUAUAAGGGAAAAUAAAUGGUAACCCAAUAUAAACCCAAACAUCACAAAAAUCAUGAUCCAAAAAAUCAAA
rnacentral:lncRNA from 1 species